rnacentral:tRNA from 1 species
GACUCAGUAGUCCAAUGGUAAAGCGCUCGUCGCGAAGCCAGAGGGUCUUGGGUUUGAUCCCUAACAGGGUCA